rnacentral:rRNA from 1 species
CAGCAGCCACGGUAAUACGUAGGUGGCAAGCGUUGUCCGGAAUUAUUGGGCGUAAAGGGCUCGCAGGCGGUUUCUUAAGUCUGAUGUGAAAGCCCCCGGCUCAACCGGGGAGGGUCAUUGGAAACUGGGAAACUUGAGUGCAGAAGAGGAGAGUGGAAUUCCACGUGUAGCGGUGGAAUGCGUAGAGAUGUGGAGGAACACCAGUGGCGAAGGCGACUCUCUGGUCUGUAACUGACGCUGAGGAGCGAAAGCGUGGGGAGCGAACAGGAUUAGAUACCCCCGUAGUCCCUGUCUCUUAUAC